GUGGGGAAUCUUCCGCAAUGGACGAAAGUCUGACGGAGCGACGCCGCGUGAGUGAAGAAGGCCUUCGGGUCGUAAAGCUCUGUCAUCAGGGACGAACGGCCGGUGGAGUGGAAAGCCACCGGAUUGACGGUACCUGAGAAGGAAGCCACGGCUAACUACGUGCCAGCAGCCGCGGUAAUACGUAGGUGACAAGCGUUGUCCGGAAUUAUUGGGCGUAAAGCGCGCGCAGGUGGGAUCUUAAGUCCAUUUUGAAAGUUCGGAGCUCAACUCCGUGAUGGGAUGGAAACUGGGAUUCUUGAGUACCGGAGAGGAAAGCGGAAUUCCCCGUGUAGCGGUGAAAUGCGUAGAUAUGGGGAGGAACACCAGUGGCGAAGGCGGCUUUCUGGACGGUGUCUGACACUGAGGCGCGAAAGCUAGGGGAGCGAACGGGAUUAGAUACCCCGGUAGUCC
rnacentral:rRNA from 1 species